AUACGGAGGAUGCAAGCGUUAUCCGGAUUUAUUGGGUUUAAAGGGUGCGUAGGCGGUUUGCUAAGCGGGAGGUGAAAUGCUGGCGCUCAACGUCGGAAGUGCCUCCCGAACUGGUGGACUGGAAUGACUCUGCCGUGGGAGGAAUGUGUAGUGUAGCGGUGAAAUGCUUAGAGAUUACACAGAACACCGAUUGCGAAGGCAUCUCACGAAGGGUUGAUUGACGCUGAGGCACGAAAGCGUGGGGAUCAAACAGGAUUAGAUACCCUGGUAGUCCACGCAGUAAACGAUGAUGGCUAACCGCUGGUUUAUUCGGAUCAGUGGCCAAGCGAAAGCGAUAAGCCAUCCACCUGGGGAGUACGACCGCAAGGUUGAAACUCAAAUGAAUUGACGGGG
rnacentral:rRNA from 1 species